rnacentral:lncRNA from 1 species
AAAAAUUUGGUAGCUAAAUUAAAAUUGUCAAAGGUUAGAUAGUUAGAUUAAAAUGGAUAAUAAUUUAAGUAGGUUUUUUUAAAAAAACUUUAUUGAAUAGCUUAAUAGACUUUUCUUCUUAAUUGAAUUAAAAAUUACUAAUUAUAUAAUCUUUUUAGUCAUAUAUGUCUUGUAUAUAAUCUUGCAAAGCUAUUGAAUAUCUUAUUUCGACAUUCAAAUAAGGUCAAAAACAAUAAACCAGAGUUUUAGGUCUGUUUGUUUUACCGGGGUAAAAUUGUUUGCGAUCAUAAAUAUUUAUUUUCGUUGUUUGAUUUACCAUAAAUUUAAUUCGCCCAUACAUUCACUUUUCUAUAAUACCUUAAUUCACUUUGUCCUAAAGUUCACUUUGUCCUAAUUGGUAAAGUCAACGAAGCAA